rnacentral:rRNA from 1 species
AAACUUGAGAGUUUGAUCAUGGCUCAGAACGUACGCUGGCGGCACGCCUAACACAUGCAAGUCGAACGAAGUAGCAAUACUUAGUGGCAGACGGGUGAGUAACAUGUAGGUAUCUGCCCUUUGGCCUGGAAUAACACGAGGAAACUUGUGCUAAUACCGGAUAAGUCUUUACGGAGAAAGCUUUAUGCACCAUUGGAUGAGCCUGCACUUGAUUAGUUUGUUGGUGGGGUAAUGGCCUACCAAGACUGUGAUCAAUAGCUGAUUUGAGAGGAUGAUCAGCCACAUUGGGACUGAGACACGGCCCAAACUCCUACGGGAGGCAGCAGUGGGGAAUCUUGCACAAUGGAGGAAACUCUGAUGCAGCGAUGCCGCGUGAGUGAAGAAGGCCCUUGGGUUGUAAAGCUCUUUCGUCGGGGAAGAAAAUGACUGUACCCGAAUAAGAAGGUCCGGCUAACUUCGUGCCAGCAGCCGCGGUAAUACGAAGGGACCUAGCGUAGUUCGGAAUUACUGGGCUUAAAGAGUUCGUAGGUGGUUGAAAAAGUUAGUGGUGAAAUCCCAGAGCUUAACUCUGGAACUGCCAUUAAAACUUUUCAGCUAGAGUAUGAUAGAGGAAAGCAGAAUUUCUAGUGUAGAGGUGAAAUUCGUAGAUAUUAGAAAGAAUACCAAUUGCGAAGGCAGCUUUCUGGAUCAUUACUGACACUGAGGAACGAAAGCAUGGGUAGCGAAGAGGAUUAGAUACCCUCGUAGUCCAUGCCGUAAACGAUGUGUGUUAGACGUUGGAAAUUUAUUUUCAGUGUCGCAGGGAAACCGAUAAACACACCGCCUGGGGAGUACGACCGCAAGGUUAAAACUCAAAUGAAUUGACGGGGACCCGCACAAGUAGUGGAGCAUGUGGUUUAAUUCGAAGAUACGCGCAGAACCUUACCAACACUUGACAUGUUCGUCGCAACUCUAAGAGAUUAGAGUUUUCGGUUCGGCCGGACGAAACACAGGUGCUGCAUGGCUGUCGUCAGCUCGUGUCGUGAGAUGUUGGGUUAAGUCCCGCAACGAGCGCAACCCUCACUUUUAGUUGCCAUCAUUAAGUUGGGCACUCUGAAAGAACUGCCAGUGAUAAGCUGGAGGAAGGUGGGGAUGACGUCAAGUCCUCAUGGCCCUUACGUGUUGGGCUACACACGUGCUACAAUGGUAUCUACAACAGGAAGCAAAACUGCGAAGUUAAGCAAAUCCCUAAAAGAUACCUCAGUUCGGAUUGCACUCUGCAACUCGAGUGCAUGAAGCUGGAAUUACUAGUAAUCGUGGAUCAGCGUGCCACGGUGAAUGCGUUCCCGGGUCUUGUACACACCGCCCGUCACACCAUGGGAGUUGGUUCUACCUUAAGGCAAGGUUUCAAACCCUUGACCACGGUAUAGUCAGCGACUGGGGUGAAGUCGUAACAAGGUAGCCGUAGGGGAACCUGCGGCUGGAUUACCUCCUUU